rnacentral:rRNA from 1 species
AACUUAAAGGAAUUGACGGGGGCCCGCACAAGCGGAGGAGCAUGUGGUUUAAUUCGAUGAUACGCGAGGAACCUUACCUGGGCUCGAACGUAAGAUGACUGUAGGUGAAAGCUUACAUCUCUUCGGAGCAUUUUACGAGGUGCUGCAUGGUUGUCGUCAGCUCGUGCCGUGAGGUGUUGGGUUAAGUCCCGUAACGAGCGCAACCCUUGUCCUUAGUUACCAGCACGUUAUGGUGGGCACUCUAAGGAGACUGCCGGUGACAAACCGGAGGAAGGUGGGGAUGACGUCAAGUCAUCAUGGCCCUUACGGCCUGGGCUACACACGUGCUACAAUGGUCGGUACAAAGGGUUGCCAAGCCGCGAGGUGGAGCUAAUCCCAUAAAACCGAUCGUAGUCCGGAUCGCAGUCUGCAACUCGACUGCGUGAAGUCGGAAUCGCUAGUAAUCGUGAAUCAGAAUGUCACGGUGAAUACGUUCCCGGGCCUU